UACGUAGGGGCAAGCGUUGUCCGGAAUCAUUGGGCGUAAAGCGCGUGUAGGCGGCUCGAUAAGUCUGCUGUGAAAGUUCAGGGCUCAACCCUGAAAUGCCGGUGGAAACUGUCGGGCUAGAGUCCGGAAGAGGCGAGUGGAAUUCCUGGUGAGCGGUGAAAUGCGCAGAUAUCAGGAGGAACACCAAUGGCGAAGGCAGCUCGCUGGGACGGUACUGACGCUGAGACGCGAAGCGUGGGGAGCAAACAGG
rnacentral:rRNA from 1 species